UACGUAGGGUGCGAGCGUUGUCCGGAAUUAUUGGGCGUAAAGAGCUUGUAGGCGGUUUGUCGCGUCUGCCGUGAAAGUCCGGGGCUCAACUCCGGAUCUGCGGUGGGUACGGGCAGACUAGAGUGAUGUAGGGGAGACUGGAAUUCCUGGUGUAGCGGUGAAAUGCGCAGAUAUCAGGAGGAACACCGGUGGCGAAGGCGGGACUCUGGGCCGAUACUGACGCUGAGGAGCGAAAGCGUGGGGAGCAAACAGG
rnacentral:rRNA from 1 species